UUUAAAAAAGUAUCAAAUUGAUUUUUUUUAUUUUUGAAUCUAAAGUUUUUUUAUUUUUAUUUUUUACUAAUGUUAGAGCAAAAAUAUUAGAAUUUUAGGAUAAUUUUAUACAGCUCCCUGUAAACUUAUCGAAUAGUAGAUAUAUAUCUAUAAAGUUCAAAUUUUUAAAUUUAUCUUUUCAAAAGUCUAGUUAUACUCAUAUUUAUUUCUCUGGUUCGUUACCGUUUUCUCACUGUUUAUUUUUUAAUAGAAGAUAAGUGAAAUAUCAAUUUUAUUAUCGCAAAUAUAUUUCUCCAAAAAUCUUAACCGUUAAAAUUGUAUAGAAAUAUCCUCCUAAAAAAUUUUCAAUAUUAUCUUUUUUUUUCCAUAAAAAUUAACUCAAUCUAUUAUUGUUGCAAUUUUUUUUUUUAUCUUUUCUCACUUGACAUGAGAGAAGCAACACGCUUUGUUGAUGAAUGGGGAUGAAGGAAUUUUAGUUACAGAUUCAAAACUAGCACGAAGGAAAGAGAAAAAGAGAAAGAGGAAGAAGAGUUUCUAUUAUUAAGAUUUUGAUCGAACUAGAAUUUUGAUUGAAAGAAAAAAGUACAAUAUCAUAUGAGUAAAAAGGUUAAUUUAGUUUACUCUAACUAUAUUUUUUUAACGGACACUAAUAGUAUGAAUCUAUUUGAAACUGUUAGAAUAUUUUGAAAAAUAAAUUUGAAAAUUUAAACUUCAUAAAAAUAUAUCUGUUAUUCAAUAGGUUUAUCGCCAGAAUAUUUUAUCGGUGAAAUACGUUAC
rnacentral:lncRNA from 1 species